CGACUCUUAUCAUUUAAGUUGUCUUAUUCUGCACACCAUUAAGACUCAUAAUCAGUGAUGACUGAAUCAUUCGUCUUAGGGGAAGUAGAGUUAUGCUAAAUUCAAUGUCCUUUGUCUGCAGAACUCUGGCCUUUCUGGAAAACUGCCCACUUUACAACUUCUAUUCCCACUUUCAGACAUCUGUGUGGAAGGGCAAGGAUUGAAGAAGACAUUCAUGAUGGGGGACUGGAAACUAUUGGUGUUAUUAUGAAGAACUUUAGUAUGUCUUUUUUAAAAAGAUCAAUUGUUAUCUGGCAUUGAUCAAUUCAUAGAAUCCAGUCAUUGUGACUGACAGCUCUGUAGACGGUGCCCUCAGGUAUCUACCUCAGGAGAAUGAGCAGCCCCUGAGAUGAAACCACACUCUUGAAGAAUCAUAAAGGAAUGCUCUGUAUAUCAUUUUACAGAAGGACUGACUUCUUCAAAUUAUUGAUAAAUACCAUUACUAAUAUACCCCACCCUGACCUAUCAUCGUCUUUGCACAUCUCAGCUCAUCCAAAGAUCUCUAAGCCAGCUGUGCCAUUUUGACAGUAAUGCCUUUGGACUCUCAAAGGUAAGAUUCUCUGCCCAUGUGGAAUGAGAGUGGUGAGGUGUGUUCGAAGAACCCAAGGCUACCUCUAGCACCUGUUCUGAAAAACCCAGUGCAUUGCUUUUAACUCUCAUGGAUAUUGAGAGGAAGAGAUUCUUUACCCUAACUUUUGGAGAGUGUUAGGACUCACAGUUCAAGAAAAGGGAGAGACCACCCAAUCCUAAUAGUGCCGAAAGAGUAUAAGAACUUUCAUUUCAUAUUACUACUUUAUUUUAAAUUGGGUUGUUGUUAUUGACAAUUUUCUACUGAAAUUGCUAGGAUAUUGUGUUUUGCUUGCAACUCACUGGAAAAG
rnacentral:lncRNA from 1 species